GUGGGCGUAGCUCAGCUGGUUAGAGCACCUGGUUGUGGCCCAGGAGGUCGUGGGUUCAAGUCCCACCGUUCACCCA
rnacentral:tRNA from 1 species